UUUUAAAUAGUUGUGGUGUAUUUUAGUAAGAAUAAUAAAUGUCAGAGGUGCAUGUGCACAAGGAGAAUUAUUUAAAAUUUUGUUCUCCCUAAAGACAGAAGAUAAUUGAGUUUAUGUUACUUUGUAUUAAUGUUGGAAUGUAUUUUUUUUGUUUAGAAAAUGCCAGGUGCCAAAGUUGUCCUUUUGGCAGUAGCAACUUUGUAACUCCCAAGUCAUCAGAUCCCGUGAUUUCAUGGUAGCUGACAGUUCAACUUUCGUGAGCAUCAGGCCUUAUAUACUUCAGCAAGAUUAUCAAUGUUAAUUAAAAAAAGAAGGAAAAGAGGGAAAGCUAAAGAUACUUGUCUCAGGAGGAGACUGCAAAAUGGGGAGACACAGAAGGAUUUUCAUUGUGCAGUGAUAGUAGCCUGCCUUUGAGGUUAAUCAGAAGGCACUAUUGCUCAUCCUGUUCCAUUUUUUUGUGAAUUAAAUAAAGCACAGCUAAAGCUCAA